rnacentral:rRNA from 1 species
GACAGGGGGUGCAAACGUUGUUCGGAAUUACUGGGCGUAAAGCGCGUGUAGGCGGCUCGGCAAGUCGGGUGUGAAAGCCCUGGGCUUAACCUAGGAAGUGCACUCGAAACUGCCAAGCUUGAGUUCUGGAGAGGAAGGCGGAAUUCUCGGUGUAGAGGUGAAAUUCGUAGAUAUCGAGAGGAACACCGGUGGCGAAGGCGGCCUUCUGGACAGCAACUGACGCUGAGACGCGAAAGCGUGGGGAGCAAACAGG